AGUGAACGCUGGCGGCGUGCCUAAUACAUGCAAGUCGAACGGAGUGGCGCACGGGUGAGUAAUAUAUAGCUAAUCUGCCCUUUGCUGGAGGACAACAGUUAGAAACGACUGCUAAUACUCCAUAGCAAGGGAUGUGACUAUAACGUAUCAGCUAGUCGGUGGGGUAAUGGCCUACCGAGGGGAUGACGCGUAACUGGUCUGAGAGGAUGAUCAGUCACAUUGGAACUGAGGCACGGUCCAGACUCCUACGGGAGGGAACGGUAGGGAGUAUUGCUAAAUCAGGGAAACCGUGACGCGGCAUCGCCUCGUGGAGGAUGACACUUUUCGGAGCGUAAACUCCUUUGGUUAGGGAAGCGGUACCUAACGAAUAAGCACCGGCUAACUCCGUGCCAGCAGCCGCGGUAAUAC
rnacentral:rRNA from 1 species